rnacentral:lncRNA from 1 species
CGUGAGGUCUCUCGCGUUUUCUGUCGAUCAGAGCGACGUCUCGCAGCGACCACGUGAGGUUGCUCGAGUUUUCUGUCGAUCAGAGCGACGUCUCGCAGCGACCACGUGAGGUCGCUCCCGUUUUCUGUGACUGGAACGACGUCUCGAAGCGACCACGUGAGGUCGCUCCCGAGCCGGUCCAGGUAAGUACCUCUUCUAUUUUGUCCGGUUUAAUUCGAGUUAACCAGCCCUAAACCUAACCGGACGACCCUAGACCUACCCAUACCCACGACCUUCAUCUUUUUCAAUCUCCC